rnacentral:rRNA from 1 species
UGUAAGCGUAUACCAAAGUUGUUGCAGUUAAAACGCUCGUAGUCGGAAUUUGGCAGUUCCGGAAGUGUGCACGUCGUGUGCGCACUUUGCGGGGACUGCUUUUGUGGUCUUGCGUAGGAUGAGGCACUUUCAUUAGUGAACGUCCUCACGCAACCACUCUUUACUGUGAGAAAAUCAGAGUGCUCAAAGCAGGCAUUUGCCGUGAAUGUAUUAGCAUGGAAUAAUAGAAUAGGACUCGGUUCUAUUUCGCUGGUUUGUUGGGACUGAGUAAUGAUUAAGAGGGACAGUUGGGGGCAUUUGUAUUCCGGCGCUAGAGGUGAAAUUCUUAGAUUGCCGGAAGACAAACUGCUGCGAAAGCGUCUGCCAAGGAUGUUUUCAUUGA